ensembl:lncRNA
CGCGUAACGGCGGCGGCGGCGGGGGUCCCGUCGGGUUGGAGGCGGCCGUGUGCGCGCAGCCGGCUCUCGGUUGGGUUAAGGGAGCCCACCGCAGUGCGGUCGCUUGUGUGCGCUGCGCGGUACAGAAGCGCGCAGAUACGUUCUCCUGUAGCUACCGGGCUCCUUCUCCGGGGCUGCUGCGCUCAGAGCGUGCGCGGACGUUGCGCACCUCAUGAGUUGGUUCAGAUGCGCGCAGUCCCGCGGCUGCUACGGCCCGCACAGCGGCGGCUUUGCGAGCGCCUUUUAACAGGAGCUCAGGCCGCUUCUCAGCGCUGUGGAGGUGAAGGGCCUUCCCCGGCUUCCCCUUCCAGCCGUACCUCGGGCCGCUGUGUCCCAACGCCUGCGCCCUGCUGUGUGCAGGCUGUCUGUCACCGCUCGGUAUUACUGCGGGCGCUUCUGAAAGGCAGGCAGGCAGGCAGGCAGGCGGCGCGGAGGGGCGGGUCGGUCAAUCGCCUUAAACGCAGCCUCCUAAUUAACGAUAUUCGACUGCCCUCGUUUCACAGAUCCACGAGCUGCUGUGUUUGUGAGGCGGUGUUUAAGCUGAAUUGUAGAAUAUCCUGAGUUGGAAGAGACCCCCAAGGAUCAUAAGAUCGUAGGAUCAUAGAAUGGCCUGGGUUGAAAAGGACCACAAUGACCAUCGAGUUUCAACCCCCUGCUAUGUGCAGGGUCGCCAACCACCAGACCAGGCUGCCCAGAGCCACAUCCAGCCUGGCCUUGAAUGCCUCCAGGGAUGGGGAUGACUGAGUCCAUCUGCUGGCGCCACACAGGACCACCCAAAAUUCAAACUGUAUGUCUGAAAGUGCUGUCCAAACUCUCCUUGAACUCCAGCAGCUCGGGGCUGUGCCCACUGCCCUGGGCACCGUGCCCACCGCCCACUGGUGUAGAACCUUUUCCUCGUCCCCAAACUGACCCUUCCCUGACAGCUCCAUGCCAUUCUCUCAGGCCCUGUUGCUGUCACCAGAAAGAAGAGAUCCAUCACCUGCUUCUCUUCUUCCUCUGCUAAAAGUUAGACCAGAAAAAUUCAAAGAAAGAAGACUUUGUAUCCUGUGGAAAAUGAGGCGGUGCUGUAGAGCGGGGGAGAUCAUUCCAGGAUGUGCCCGGAAGGUCCCGUCUCCUCCACUGGAAGUCCGCUCCUCGUAGAAAAAUCUCAUCUCUUGGAGGACAGAACAGCCAAGCUGUUUUAUUUGGGAGAAUUUUGUCCUCAGGUUCUCUUCUAAACUCAGCCACAGCUGUCCGCUGAACUGAUAAAUCCUUCAGAAGCUAUCAUGGCUGAUACCCCAAAUAGAAGUGCAGCUGUAAGGAGAUUCAAGGCCACAGAUUUACUGGUACGUUUCAGUGGCUACAAAUGUGCUUAACUGCCUGUAAACCUCAUAUUUGCU